UACGUAGGGCGCAAGCGUUGUCCGGAAUCAUUGGGCGUAAAGCGCGUGUAGGCUGUCUAUUAAGUCGGAUGUGAAAUCCCUGGGCUCAACCGAGGAAGUGCAUUCGAAACUAAUAGACUAGAAGGUGGUAGAGGAAGGUGGAAUUCCAAGUGUAGAGGUGAAAUUCGUAGAUAUUUGGAGGAAUACCGGUGGCGAAGGCGGCCUUCUGGGCCACCCUUGACGCUGAGACGCGAAAGCGUGGGUAGCAAACAGG
rnacentral:rRNA from 1 species